rnacentral:rRNA from 1 species
ACCUACGGGGCGCAGCAGUGGGGAAUAUUGGGCAAUGGGCGCAAGCCUGACCCAGCAACGCCGCGUGAAGGAAGAAGGCUUUCGGGUUGUAAACUUCUUUUCUCAGGGACGAAGAAAGAGACGGUACCUGAGGAAUAAGCCACGGCUAACUACGUGCCAGCAGCCGCGGUAAUACGUAGGGGGCAAGCGUUAUCCGGAUUUAUUGGGUGUAAAGGGCGUGGAGGCGGGAGCGAAAGUCAGAUGUGAAAACUCAGGGCUC